rnacentral:rRNA from 1 species
GAUCCUGGCUCAGGACGAACGCUGGCGGCGCGCCUAACACAUGCAAGUCGAACGGAGCUUAAAGAGCUUGCUUUUUAAGCUUAGUGGCGAACGGGUGAGUAACGCGUGAGUAACCUGCCCUGGAGUGGGGGACAACAGUUGGAAACGACUGCUAAUACCGCAUAAGCCCACGGAUCCGCAUGGAUCUGCGGGAAAAGGAUUUAUUCGCUUCAGGAUGGACUCGCGUCCAAUUAGCUAGUUGGUGAGGUAACGG